rnacentral:pre_miRNA from 1 species
UAAGUACUCCCUCCGUCCCAAAACUCUUGUCUUAAAUUUGUCUAGAUACGGAUGUAUCUAAUACUAAAACGUGACUUGAUACAUCUGUAUUUAGACAAAUCUAAGACAAGAAUUUUGGGACGGAGGGAGUAUUAA